rnacentral:rRNA from 1 species
AUUGAACGCUGGCGGCAGGCCUAACACAUGCAAGUCGAGCGAGCGGCGGACGGGUGAGUAAUGUCUGGGAAACUGCCUGAUGGAGGGGGAUAACUACUGGAAACGGUAGCUAAUACCGCAUACCAUCGGAUGUGCCCAGAUGGGAUUAGCUAGUAGGUGGGGUAACGGCUGACCUAGGCGACGAUCCCUAGCUGGUCUGAGAGGAUGACCAGCGACACUGGAACAUGGACACGGUCCAGACGCCCAAGGGAGGCAGCAGUGGGGAAUAUGGGUCAAUGGGGGUAAGCCUGAUGCAGUCAUGCGGCGUGUGUGAAGAAGGCCUUCGGGUUGGAAAGCACUUUCAGGGGGGAGGCGUUGCCCGAAGAAGAAGCACCGGCCAACUCCGUGCCAGCAGCCGCGGUAAUAC